UGGGGAAUCUUGGACAAUGGGGGCAACCCUGAUCCAGCCAUGCCGCGUGAGUGAUGAAGGCCUUAGGGUCGUAAAGCUCUUUCGCCUGUGAAGAUAAUGACGGUAGCAGGUAAAGAAACCCCGGCUAACUCCGUGCCAGCAGCCGCGGUAAUACGGAGGGGGUUAGCGUUGUUCGGAAUUACUGGGCGUAAAGCGCACGUAGGCGGACCAGAAAGUUGGGGGUGAAAUCCCGGGGGCUCAACCCCGGAACUGCCUCCAAAACUAUUGGUCUAGAGUUCGAGAGAGGUGAGUGGAAUUCCAAGUGUAGAGGUGAAAUUCGUAGAUAUUUGGAGGAACACCAGUGGCGAAGGCGGCUCACUGGCUCGAUACUGACGCUGAGGUGCGAAAGUGUGGGGAGCAAACAGGAUUAGAUACCCUGGGUAGUCCACACCGUAAAACGAUGAAUGCCAGUCGUCGGGUAGCAUGCUAUUCGGUGACACACCUA
rnacentral:rRNA from 1 species